AUUGAACGCUGGCGGCAUGCUUUACACAUGCAAGUCGAACGGUAACAGGGAGCUUGCUCCGCUGACGAGUGGCGAACGGGUGAGUAAUGCAUCGGAACGUACCCAGUCGUGGGGGAUAACGUAGCGAAAGUUACGCUAAUACCGCAUACGUCCUGAGGGAGAAAGCGGGGGACCGAAAGGCCUCGCGCGAUUGGAGCGGCCGAUGUCGGAUUAGCUAGUUGGUGGGGUAAAGGCCUACCAAGGCGACGAUCCGUAGCGGGUCUGAGAGGAUGAUCCGCCACACUGGGACUGAGACACGGCCCAGACUCCUACGGGAGGCAGCAGUGGGGAAUCUUGCGCAAUGGGCGAAAGCCUGACGCAGCAACGCCGCGUGCGGGAUGAAGGCCUUCGGGUUGUAAACCGCUUUCAGCAGGGACGAAAAGACUCUUUCUAAUAAAGAGGGUCCAUGACGGUACCGUAAGAAUAAGCACCGGCUAACUACGUG
rnacentral:rRNA from 1 species